rnacentral:rRNA from 1 species
UACAGAGGUCCCCGAGCGUUGUUCGGAUUCACUGGGCGUAAAGGGUGCGUAGGUGGUUAGGUAAGUCCGAUGUGAAAUCUCCAGGCUCAACCUGGAAAUGGCAUUGGAUACUAUUUAGCUUGAGGAGUGGAGGGGGGACUGGAAUUCUCGGUGUAGCAGUGAAAUGCGUAGAUAUCGAGAGGAACACCAGUGGCGAAGGCGAGUCCCUGGACACUUCCUGACACUGAGGCACGAAAGCUAGGGGAGCAAACAGG